rnacentral:rRNA from 1 species
AAAUUGAAGAGUUUGAUCAUGGCUCAGAUUGAACGCUGGCGGCAGGCCUAACACAUGCAAGUCGAGCGGUAGCACAGAGAGCUUGCUCUCGGGUGACGAGCGGCGGACGGGUGAGUAAUGUCUGGGAAACUGCCUGAUGGAGGGGGAUAACUACUGGAAACGGUAGCUAAUACCGCAUAACGUCGCAAGACCAAAGUGGGGGACCUUCGGGCCUCAUGCCAUCAGAUGUGCCCAGAUGGGAUUAGCUAGUAGGUGGGGUAACGGCUCACCUAGGCGACGAUCCCUAGCUGGUCUGAGAGGAUGACCAGCCACACUGGAACUGAGACACGGUCCAGACUCCUACGGGAGGCAGCAGUGGGGAAUAUUGCACAAUGGGCGCAAGCCUGAUGCAGCCAUGCCGCGUGUGUGAAGAAGGCCUUCGGGUUGUAAAGCACUUUCAGCGGGGAGGAAGGCGAUAAGGUUAAUAACCUUGUUGAUUGACGUUACCCGCAGAAGAAGCACCGGCUAACUCCGUGCCAGCAGCCGCGGUAAUACGGAGGGUGCAAGCGUUAAUCGGAAUUACUGGGCGUAAAGCGCACGCAGGCGGUCUGUCAAGUCGGAUGUGAAAUCCCCGGGCUCAACCUGGGAACUGCAUUCGAAACUGGCAGGCUAGAGUCUUGUAGAGGGGGGUAGAAUUCCAGGUGUAGCGGUGAAAUGCGUAGAGAUCUGGAGGAAUACCGGUGGCGAAGGCGGCCCCCUGGACAAAGACUGACGCUCAGGUGCGAAAGCGUGGGGAGCAAACAGGAUUAGAUACCCUGGUAGUCCACGCCGUAAACGAUGUCGAUUUGGAGGUUGUGCCCUUGAGGCGUGGCUUCCGGAGCUAACGCGUUAAAUCGACCGCCUGGGGAGUACGGCCGCAAGGUUAAAACUCAAAUGAAUUGACGGGGGCCCGCACAAGCGGUGGAGCAUGUGGUUUAAUUCGAUGCAACGCGAAGAACCUUACCUGGUCUUGACAUCCACAGAACUUAGCAGAGAUGCUUUGGUGCCUUCGGGAACUGUGAGACAGGUGCUGCAUGGCUGUCGUCAGCUCGUGUUGUGAAAUGUUGGGUUAAGUCCCGCAACGAGCGCAACCCUUAUCCUUUGUUGCCAGCGGUCCGGCCGGGAACUCAAAGGAGACUGCCAGUGAUAAACUGGAGGAAGGUGGGGAUGACGUCAAGUCAUCAUGGCCCUUACGACCAGGGCUACACACGUGCUACAAUGGCAUAUACAAAGAGAAGCGACCUCGCGAGAGCAAGCGGACCUCAUAAAGUAUGUCGUAGUCCGGAUUGGAGUCUGCAACUCGACUCCAUGAAGUCGGAAUCGCUAGUAAUCGUAGAUCAGAAUGCUACGGUGAAUACGUUCCCGGGCCUUGUACACACCGCCCGUCACACCAUGGGAGUGGGUUGCAAAAGAAGUAGGUAGCUUAACCUUCGGGAGGGCGCUUACCACUUUGUGAUUCAUGACUGGGGUGAAGUCGUAACAAGGUAACCGUAGGGGAACCUGCGGUUGGAUCACCUCCUUA